GAAGGAGGACCCCACCCUCACAGAGGAUGCUCAACCCCUCAGGAGGAACAAGCCCCACAACCAGACAGAUGGCAGGCCGCGCAUGGGGGAGGGCUAAGAGGAGUGGGGCCAAGGGGCAGAGCAAUGGGGGAGGGAAGGGGGCACUUUGCUGGGCCUCCCACCGGACCACUGGGCCAUCUGCCACACAGAAGAGCGCAGCCGGAGGGAGCCAGUAACCCGAUUAGCAGCUGCGCAUGAGCCACAGGGAGCUGGGCUGGAAGGAGCCCCCUAAUCUCAUCAAGGAGGAUUUACCUACUGUCACCUUUGGUUGUUCCAGACCCUGCUCUGUUUUUAAAACACUGAUCCAGGUUCCUCGGCAGGGACGGGGCCAAAUUAAGUGCUCUAGCGUGAUACGAGCCGCCAUGGGCCCAGGGAUGGACAUUUUGGGGCCCUGGCUAAGGAGAUUGUGUCCGCACACAUUGAGGCAGAGGGCAAAGAUGCUAUGACAGGGCAUCCCUGAGGCACCUUCACCCCUCUGAGGCCCAAGAAGCUGAGUGAGUCAGCUGUAUCUUCCUUCCCCAGGAGUUUGGUCACGAUAUGGGAAGCCCUCCUGGGAAGAAGGGGGCACAGCGCAGCAGCCUUGCAAACAAGCAGACAGACAAGCCGAGACCUGCUGCCUGAAGCCAAGCAGAGAGGAGCAUCAGCACACGCUCAGCAGGACAACGCCGGAUCCUCCGCGCACUUUUAAGGACAGAAGGAUCAGCCUCAUGCAAAGCAUGGCAGCAAGCGGAAGGGGGACAAGUGAGAGGGGAGACAGCACAUGCGCGGCAGAGGCCUCAGGCACAUGCAGCCAGAAGGAGGAAGGAAGGGGUUGCCACCAGAGUUUGGAAGGAGCCAGAGAGGCCUUGCUGGGCCAUCACUUCUCAAAACCAGGCUGAGCCAGGGCUUUGCACCUGGAGAGCAUUGCCACCAUAUCCUGUGAAGUCUGGAAAACCAAGGAGGAACCACCCACCUUCACCUGGAAGCAGCAAACAGCUAAAACUGGAGCAACCGAAACUGCAAAUCAAUAUAUUGUGCUUCAUUGAAGGGUAACCAUAGCAACACGGAGAGGAGCCGAAGAUGCUGCUGUCUGGGAACAGGAGGAGCGGUGCCAGGACCAGCCGGACGUGGGCAGCUGCAGCUCCUGCCAGCCAAGACCCAGCCCUGCACAGCCGCCAGCAGUGCCUCUCCAGUGCUGGCUCUCCUCCGCCAAGGCCUGGCCUCAUCCAUCUGGCCAAAGCACAGAACUGCCCGGUCACAAGGGCCACACUGCCAUGCUAUAGACUGCCACAAGAGAAGGAGUCUGAAAACCCAGUUUGGUUUGUCUGAAUGGCACAAAGGAAUACCUCGGUCUCCGCAGAUGCGGGGCACUCAUUUAGCAACACACAACCGCUCUGGUAGCCAGGGAUGCAUCGGUUGGACAGUAGGCGAAGGAAGAGCAUUGAGGCACCUGGAUCUGUUCUGCCUCCAUGAGCUGCAUGACAUGCCUGGCUUCUCUGAGGGGAAAGUCAGAUGGACCUCUGCACCAAGGAGAACUCUGCUUAAGGCAGCACAGGACACAGCCUUCUCUUACUCUGUGCAGAUUUAGGUGCUCAAUGGAUGUCCGCCAGUCACCGCCAAGGGCUCCCCAGGAAAGG